UUUAAAGAAAGCGUAACAGCUCACUGGUCUAAAUAAGGGUUCCUGCGGCGAAGAUGUAACGGGGCUAAAGAUAUGCACCGAAGCUUAGGGUUCAGAAUUUAUUCUGAGCGGUAGCGGAGCGUUCCGUAAGCGAGCGAAGGAGAAGGGUAACCGACUCUGGACGUAUCGGAAGUGCGAAUGCUGACAUGAGUAGCGACAAAGAGGGUGAGAUGCCCUCUCGCCGAAAGACCAAGGGUUCCUGCGCAACGCUAAUCGGCGCAGGGUUAGCCGGCCCCUAAGACGAGCCCGAAGGGGGUAGUCGAUGGGAACCACGUAAAUAUUCGUGGGCCUGAAGAUGUGUGACGGAUCGUGGAAGUUGUUUUCUCUUAUUGGAUUGAGAGGGCAGCCAAGCGGUUCCAGGAAAUAGCCUCUUCAUAUAGACCGUACCCGAAACCGACACAGGUGGUCAGGUA
rnacentral:rRNA from 14 species